UAUGGUGCCUUGGUCCCAUAUUGACGUUAUCUUAGUGCACAGAGGACACCCUCAAGCUACUCAAGCUGGGAUAACUGAUAAGCAGCCAGACCAGAACUGGGACACUGAAGGGUUCAGAGGACCUGAAAACAAGAAUAGCAAUGACUCCCUAAAUUUUCCCAUGUAAAUGUCAAUACCGUGGCAUUCACCACUUCUCUCUAAAGUCCUGUUUAAGACCACGGAGCCAGGAAGAGAAUCAUCGAGCCAUAUUCUCCUGCUCCUCUGCAGAAAGCAAAUGGCUAUCCUUGGAUAUCAAUCACUGGGGUAAAAGCUAAGAAAUGUUACCAAGGAAACGUUGUCAGGCCCAUUGGCAGUCUCCUUUGUUUAGGAAGUUUACCCAUGAGCAGCAUUUUAUUGUUUUGAAAUCAAGAAAUGUAAAAAUAAAAUAAAUCUUCAAUGGA